CAAGCUCAAAAACUCGACGCGCGAUGUGGCGGUCCCUCGUACGCUCCACGCCGGCAAAUACAGCAAGCGAGAGCGCGAGGAACUGCUGUCGAUCCAAGCGAAUCUGACGAAACGCAUCGGACAGGAACAAUACUUGAUCCUCUCACAAUUCAUCGAU
rnacentral:ribozyme from 1 species